AAAACAGCUUCUAAGAGGCCUCUUACUAUCUACGGCAUAUCCUAUCAAAGCUCACAGGACAGCAAAUUUGGCCAAUGCUUAUGUGACAGUGGCUCGUAGAACAUGCAGCUUUUCUGUUGAAUUGGCACUACAUCUCUGGUAGCCCCUUUAAUGUCUGGAGGCCAAAUCAACAGCACAGGCGUUCCAACUUGACAAGUUGACAGCGCCAGAGCCACAGACACGGACAAAAGGCACACACAAGGCAGGGCGAACUGUAACUUGCUGAACUGAUGUUCCAACUUCGCACUCGGGCGGGAUCAUGUUCGGGAGAGGCCAGGUGGGUCAAGGUGCCGUUCAGCGUCAAACAGCGGAGGCUGCCAUCUUGUGGAACUCAGUUGCCGGACCCGGAAACCCGAAGCUCGCCCGUUACGGCGGCACAAGACGCUAUACUGUUGUAUUUUUAUCAUAUUUGCUUAAACAAACGAAUCUAUUGAAAGAUGAUGAAGUA